rnacentral:rRNA from 1 species
CCUACGGGUGGCAGCAGUGGGGAAUAUUGCGCAAUGGGCGAAAGCCUGACGCAGCGACGCCGCGUGAGGGAUGAAGGUCUUCGGAUCGUAAACCUCUGUCAGCAGGGAAGAACGGUCACUGUGCUAAUCAGCAGUGAAUUGACGGUACCUGCAAAGGAAGCACCGGCUAACUCCGUGCCAGCAGCCGCGGUAAUACGUAGGUGGCAAGCGUUGUCCGGAUUUACUGGGUGUAAAGGGCGUGCAGCCGGAGAGACAAGUCAGAUGUGAAAUCCACGGGCUCAACCCGUGAACUGCAUUUGAAACUGGUUUCCUUGAGUGUCGGAGAGGUAAUCGGAAUUCCUUGUGUAGCGGUUAAAUGCGUAGAUAGAAGGAAGAAAACCAGUGGCGAAGGCGGAUUAAUGGACGAUAACUGACGGUGAGGCGCGAAAGCGUGGGGAGCAAACAGGAUUAGAUACCCGUGUAGUC